UACGAAGGGGGCUAGCGUUGCUCGGAAUUACUGGGCGUAAAGCGCACGUAGGCGGCUUUCUAAGUCGGGGGUGAAAUCCUGGAGCUCAACUCCAGAACUGCCUUCGAUACUGGAGAGCUCGAGUCCGGGAGAGGUGGGUGGAACUGCGAGUGUAGAGGUGAAAUUCGUAGAUAUUCGCAAGAACACCAGUGGCGAAGGCGGCUCACUGGCCCGGUACUGACGCUGAGGCACGAAAGCGUGGGGAGCAAACAGG
rnacentral:rRNA from 1 species